rnacentral:lncRNA from 1 species
AAGGAAACAGAUCUUUAACAUACUGCCUGAGGCUGGUUUAAGCGUCUUAACAACCUUUGGUGUCGUUAUGAUGAACAUACCCUUUUUCCUUACUUUUUUUACUUUCUUGGGCAGCAAGAUGGCCCAUCAGAUAAAGAAACCCACUGUCAAACCUGAUGAUCUGAGUUUGAUCUCUGGAACCCACGUGGUGGAAGGAGAGAGUAAGCUCCUACCAGUCGUCUCUAAGUGUAACGUGUACACCAUUGCAGGUGGUGCACUCCCAACCCCCCAAAUAAAAGAUAAAUGUGAAAAAUUUCUUGUAUGAAUUAAAAAAAUCAUGAUGGGGUCCUUAAA